rnacentral:rRNA from 1 species
GACGAACGCUGGCGGCGUGCUUAACACAUGCAAGUCGAACGGAAAGGCCCUGCUUUUGUGGGGUGCUCGAGUGGCGAACGGGUGAGUAACACGUGAGUAACCUGCCCUUGACUUUGUGAUAACUUCAGGAAACUGGGGCUAAUACCGGAUAGGAUCUCUUGCUGCAUGUUGUGCGUUGGAAAGUUUCGGCGGUUGGGGAUGGACUCGCGGCUUAUCAGCUUGUUGGUGGGGUAGUGGCUUACCAAGGCUUUGACGGGUAGCCGGCCUGAGAGGGUUACCGGCCACAUUGGGACUGAGAUACGGCCCAGACUCCUACGGGAGGCAGCAGUGGGGAAUAUUGCACAAUGGGCGGAAGCCUGAUGCAGCAACGCCGCGUGCGGGAUGACGGCCUUCGGGUUGUAAACCGCUUUCGCAUGUGACGAAGCGUGAGUGACGGUAAUGGGUAAAGAAGCACCGGCUAACUACGUG